rnacentral:rRNA from 1 species
ACGGGAAACCGGAGCUAAUACCGGAUAAGAUAUCGAACCGCAUGGUUCGAUAGUGAAAGAUGGUUUUGCUAUCACUUAUAGAUGGACCCGCGCCGUAUUAGCUAGUUGGUGAGGUAACGGCUCACCAAGGCAACGAUACGUAGCCGACCUGAGAGGGUGAUCGGCCACACUGGAACUGAGACACGGUCCAGACUCCUACGGGAGGCAGCAGCG